UACGAGGGGGGCGAGCGUUGUUCGGAAUUAUUGGGCGUAAAGGGUGCGUAGGCGGUUUGGUAAGUCUUAUGUGAAAUCUACAGGCUCAACUUGUAGUCUGCAUGAGAAACUGGCGGGCUUGAGUGUGGCAGAGGGGGGUGGAAUUCCGCGUGUAGCAGUGAAAUGCGUAGAGAUGCGGAGGAACACCUGUGGUGUAGACGGCUUUCUGGACCAUAGCUGACGCUGAGACACGAAAGCGUGGGUAGCAAACAGG
rnacentral:rRNA from 1 species